GGCACUAUGGCGGAGUGGUUAACGCGAGAGAUUCGAAUAGACUCAAUCUCUUCCUCUAUGAGGGCGCAGGUUCGAAUCCUGCUGGUGUCG
rnacentral:tRNA from 1 species